rnacentral:rRNA from 1 species
UACAGAGGUCCCAAGCGUUGUUCGGAUUCACUGGGCGUAAAGGGUGCGUAGGCGGUCGGGUAAGUCUGACGUGAAAUCCCUCGGCUUAACCGGGGAACUGCGUCUGAUACUGGUUGGCUUGAAUCCGGGAGAGGGAUGUGGAAUUCCAGGUGUAGCGGUGAAAUGCGUAGAUAUCUGGAGGAACACCGGUGGCGAAGGCGGCAUCCUGGACCGGUAUUGACGCUGAGGAGCGAAAGCCAGGGGAGCAAACGGG